ensembl:lncRNA
UUGUGCAGUGCAUUUUGUUGCUAUACGCACACAAACACACACACUCUCUAAAAUGUGUGUGUGUCAUUUGAUAGAUAGAGAGAUAGAUAGCUAAUGUGUUUAUAUAAUGUUUGAUAGACAUAGAAAAAAAUUAAAUCUCCUAUAGUCAAAACUUGAUGUUGAUUAGAAUUUUUAUUUUUAUUUUAUUUUAUUUUUUUGAGCCUAAGAUAAUUGAAAAAGCUUUAUUUAUGAGACUGUAAGUUGUGAUCAGCUCUUGUAUGUGUCGGGUCCUCUUUGGCUGUAAGUGUUGGAAUCGAUAGCUGGAGUGUGUUCUGCUGACACAGUGUACACUGUGUAGUGCGUUCCACUGGUUUUCGCUGUGCUGCACUUCCUAGUAUUUAUUUUGGCACUCUCUCUGUUGCACACACACCACCUGUGAGUGACAUUGUUAGAUUUAGUGAUGGUGGCUGACGUAUCAUUUCUCUCCGUGUCACAUGGGCUGAUUUCCCAUACUCCCCCACGACGGGCCUCUUAACUGUGUGAUUAUUCAUUUUCACUCUGUUGAAUAUAGACUUCCAUGUCGUUGCUAGGUGACAGGUAAUUUUCAGCAUGUGUUUUAAUUAACAAGGGCACAGGAAAACCCACAUAAAACAGUUGUUCCAAUUCUGUGACAAGAAGGAUAUUAUGUCUCUGCUUUCAGCUAAUAUCUGUCUCAUAGCAGGUGGGCAAGUUACAGAAAAGCAGACGUGUGACGCAAGCUGAAUUCAAGGCGUUCUGGUUUACAGGUGCAAUCACUCACAAAUGCACUUUUGGGUGUCAAAAUUGCCCCAGCAGCAAAUAUGUAAGCAGUUCUGUUCCAGGUUGUCUUCUGUUUACACAUAUGGCACAAGGAAAUAACUUUGAAGUGAGCUCGCAGCGCUAGAUGAAAAGGGUGAAAUAAACUGCUUUACGGCGACAGGGGCAAAUGAAGGACUACUGCUGGCGCUUUAAUAAGAUCCCUCAUCAGAAUCCAGCCAGUUCCUUCACGGCCUCUCGGGGAGGGGGGCCUUCUGUGGUUCGGACCCUCCAAAGUGCACACGUAAUUUGACUAACAGCUGCAGUGGCUUAUAGAGGCCAGAUGUGCAGUGUAAGAGAGGAGAGAAAAGCCGAACGAAGGGGUUCGGGGUGAAAAGCAGGCCCUGUCAGGGGCCCGAGUGCCUAGCAGUUAAAUGAGAGAGAGCUAUUGUCAUGCAUGCUGCUCGCUUUUUAUGGUGACUUCUGCAAAUUACAAGGAUGUAGGCAUCAAUUUUCACAUGGGGCUUCGCCGCGGACGAGUGUGUGUUCCAAAAACUUCAUGCCAUUUACACUUGCUUUAUGAGCUGAGCUCCAGCAAAACUUUCUGCUAUGAGUCUGCUUAAGUGGUAAAUGUGGAAAGCACUUAAACAAGAGUAUCUUUUAAAGAGAGACAGUAUAAUAAAAGUAGAAGAUGAUGGUGUUUAAACAUGAAAUCUGUAUUUGAACCAAAAAUAAACCAGCUAAAAAUGGACUAAAUGUGUAUUAUCAUAUAGCAGUUAGACUAUAUAUACAGAGUAGAAGAACUGUUAUCUUAAAGUCAACCGAACUGGCAUUUGCAAUCCAUUCUAAUCAGGUAUUUUAUGUAUUUUCUAGAGAGACAGAGAGAGAGAGAGAUUUUUAAAAUGUUCUGUAGUAUCAUUGAGAUGUUAUUUUAUAUAGGUUUUUAAAAAAUAUUUAAUAC